UACGAAGGGGGCUAGCGUUGUUCGGAAUUACUGGGCGUAAAGCGCGCGCAGGCGGCUAUCCAAGUCAGUGGUGAAAGCCCGGAGCUCAACUCCGGAAUUGCCAUUGAAACUGUUUAGCUUGAGUACGAGAGAGGUGAGUGGAAUUCCCAGUGUAGAGGUGAAAUUCGUAGAUAUUGGGAAGAACACCGGUGGCGAAGGCGGCUCACUGGCUCGUAACUGACGCUCAAGCGCGACAGCGUGGGGAUCGAACAGG
rnacentral:rRNA from 1 species